rnacentral:rRNA from 1 species
CCUACGGGAGGCAGCAGUGAGGAAUAUUGGUCAAUGGACGAGAGUCUGAACCAGCCAAGUAGCGUGAAGGAUGACUGCCCUAUGGGUUGUAAACUUCUUUUAUAUGGGAAUAAAACGUUCCACGUGUGGGAUUUUGUAUGUACCAUAUGAAUAAGGAUCGGCUAACUACGUGCCAGCAGCCGCGGUAAUACGGAGGAUCCGAGCGUUAUCCGGAUUUAUUGGGUUUAAAGGGAGCGUAGGUGGAUUGUUAAGUCAGUUGUGAAAGUUUGCGGCUCAACCGUAAAAUUGCAGUUGAAACUGGCAGUCUUGAGUACAGUAGAGGUGGGCGGAAUUCGUGGUGUAGCGGUGAAAUGCUUAGAUAUCACGAAGAACUCCGAUUGCGAAGGCAGUUCACUGGACUGCAACUGACACUGAGGCUCGAAAGUGUGGGUAUCAAACAGGAUUAGAUACCCGAGUAGUC